CCUGUCUGCAGUAGUAUGUACACCGCUGUGACGUCACGAACACAACUGUUUAACCACUCCUCACCUCUUCAGGUUCUCUAAACAAUUUACUUUCGGAAAGCUCCACUCGUACAUCGACCAUGCAGCAGAACUCAAAUUCAGGGUCUGCAGUCACGUGUGUUUGUCCAUCAGUGUUCAGCUGUCUGUCUGCUGUCUGGAGGAUGAUGACUUCUGUUUGUUCCUCUGAGGAAAUGGAUCAUCAGUCUCUGGAUGUUCCUCUCUCUGUAGAGGAGACCCGACCAGAACCGGCCCAGAGUUCAGUGCGGCCAUGUUCAUUCACAGGAGGAUGAGUGUGAGCGAUGAUGAUGAAGAGCAGCAGGUUUAAGAGUCGAAAUACAGAACUAUGAACUAGGAAUUCAUGACUUUGUAUUAAAUAGUCUAUGAUUCAAAAUAAAGCACUUAGGGCCUACUAAAAAAGCUGAAAUAUAUUAUUUGU